rnacentral:rRNA from 1 species
CAGUCGCCGCGGUAAAACGGAGGGUGCAAGCGUUAAUCGGAAUUACUGGGCGUAAAGCGCACGCAGGCGGUCUGACAAGUCAGAUGUGAAAUCCCCGGGCUUAACCUGGGAACUGCAUUUGAAACUGUCAGGCUGGAGUCUUGUAGAGGGGGGUAGAAUUCCAGGUGUAGCGGUGAAAUGCGUAGAGAUCUGGAGGAAUACCGGUGGCGAAGGCGGCCCCCUGGACAAAGACUGACGCUCAGGUGCGAAAGCGUGGGGAGCAAACAGGAUUAGAGACCCGUGUAGUCCCUGUCUCUUAUAC